rnacentral:rRNA from 1 species
UACGAAGGGGACUAGCGUUGCUCGGAAUUACUGGGCGUAAGGCGCACGUAGGCGGCUUCUUAAGUCGGUGGUGAAAUCCUGGAGCUCAACUCCAGAACUGCCUUCGAUACUGGGAGCUCGAGUCCGGGAGAGGUGAGUGGAACUGCGAGUGUAGAGGUGAAAUUCGUAGAUAUUCGCAAGAACACCAGUGGCGAAGGCGGCUCACUGGCCCGGUACUGACGCUGAGGCACGAAAGCGUGGGGAGCAAACAGGG